rnacentral:misc_RNA from 1 species
GGGCCGUGCAAAAGAGCCUUUUCAGUUUCCUCUCACAAACCCUAUCGAACUUCCUUGCGACGCCUUCGAAGCCAGUACCGUCAUCAUUGUUCACCACUGCCGUUCUCCCUUCGCCGUCGUCGAUCACCACUUCGAAGCAGCCGCCUCCUUCGCUAUUAAGAUUGAACCGAAGGACACAGGGAGCUCUGAGUUGCUGUCUACUCCUCUUCUUUCCUCCCUUCUAGCGACCCCCUAAAUCGAAUCGAGAGGUGUUCAGUAAUUUCCCCAAUUCGAAUUGAGUGAUAAUGAUGGAUCUAAGAUCGGCUUUUGAAGACCACAUAAAGCAAAUGGCGGAUCUCAUCCUGAAACUCUCUUCGGAGCUCCGGUCAGGCCUUCGACCCGCCUACGAUAAUUUCAUGGGAUUUUUCCACGCUAUCGAUUGGACGGAACCUUGGUUAAGGGGUUUAAUGGCAUUUCAUGUUGCUUUGCUGAUAGUGGCCAUCCUGUCAAGAAAACAUAUCAACUUCCAGAUGUUCUUGUUUCUCUUAGCUUGUAAGUUGUCUUUUUUGUGAUUUUUUUAAGAAAUUAAAAACUAUAUAUGUAUUUUAGGAAGGGAUGAUACUGUUGAACUGGGAUAACUUAUUUGAAUCAGAUUCGCUCCAAGUUUGAGGUAAUUAUAUGUAUGGAUAAAUAGAUUGUUUUGUUCCAUCACUUCUGAAGCAAUUCUUGCGAGGUGAUCAAAUGAGAUAAGAUUGAUGCUCUUUGUGUUUCACUACAUUGUCUGAAGUUCAUUUAAUUGGAAAUAGUAUUGCAGCUUAAAUUAUGUAUUCUCUACAAGGUUGUUGAUAAAUGUUUUAGAUUCAAGCAUAUGGUGGCUGUUGCAUUUUUCUCUUUUCCCUGUUUAAUUACUUGGAUUCCUUUGCCAAACAUCAUUUUUUGCUAUGAAGACUGAUAAUGCUAUUCAAUCAUCACUGUCUUACAGAAUUAUUGUAUAUAAAAGCUGAUGUUUUAUUUGGUUUUGCAUGGGUUAGUUAUUUACAAUUUUGUUUUUCUGAUAUCGUUGUUUGCAGUUUGAAAUUAUUCUCUAUAUGGACAUACAUGCAUUUCUAUAAUAUAAAUACCUGGGGAUACAAUAUAGUGGUUUUUGGUUAUUUAUCUUGAAUCUUUUAAGUUGCAUCACCUUCGAAUUGUGGUUAGUUAGGAUCUUUAAAUAAAAGAUUUUUUGAAGUGUACCAAAAUUUCAAAUUUAGGAUAUCUUUUGUUUUGAUUUCGUAUUACUUUUUCAUUUUUUGUUUCUUUAUUCCCAAUUUCUCCCAAACAUAUAUCAUUCAUAUUGUUGAUAAUCUUAGAAGAGUAGCAUUUGAAUUGUCAUGUCUAUCUCUACAGUGAAAGCCACAAAAGGCUAAUCUUUUGGGUGAUGUUUCUAGGUUUUUCAAAUCAGUAUGGAAUUUUUACUACUAGGUCACUGAAUCUCCAUAUCGUUUACAAUAACUAAAUAAGAAAUGUUCACCACACCGAUAUAACAUGUUAAUUGGCUUUUGUUUGUGGUUGGGAGGUCAAUGACUACUCUAUUCACUGAGCACAUGUUUGUUUUAUUUUUCAUGCACGCUUAUAAGAUUUUUUCCAUCUUAUAUGGAGUCAAUGAUGUCAUGUAGUGGGUGGUGUAUACUUUGCUGAGAGGCUGAAUAGAAUUUUGGGUGACAACUGGAGGAGUUUUGCAAGCCAGAAUUAUUUUGAUCCACAUGGACUCUUUCUUUCAUCACUCUGGUCUGGGCCUCUUCUUGUCACUGCAAUCGUUAUUUUGAUAAACAGUCUCUUUUCCUUGUGUUACCUGAUUGUUAGAUGGAAAAGGGCUGAACUUAGACACCGUGCUAGGUUGUCUCAGAACAAACAGGAUUGAUCAUGCUCAAUUAUGUUGGUCUUUCAUUCCUAGACAUUUGAAGAGCUACUUCUUGCCUCCUGGCAGUUUUGUGACCAAUUUAGAUUGCAGAUACGUCUUUUCAAUUUCUCACGGAUCUUUUUUAUUUUAUUUUAUUUUUCCAUCUUGAGUUUUGAAUGGUGUAAUCAUAAGACAUUAGCUUGGUUAUAAUGUCAUUUCUUGCUUACCAUUAUUGUUGUUGUUGAGUAACCGUCUUUCAAUUUAGCCAUGGGAAUCCCUCCAUCCAUUCAUGGCCCUUAAUAGAUUUCCAAAAUUCAUUGAUAUAUGAAUUUUGAGUUUAAUUACUUAAAUUGUGAUCUUAUUUAAAUUCCCUCCUUUCUGGUUUAUUAGUUGGCCGAUUAUGAAACAUAUUGAAUGCUGUAAAUUUUUUGCUAUGCAUGAUUGCUAUAAGGUUUGGAU